GCCGUGCUAGAGAAAUGGUUAUCUCAUCGGUCUCCUAAUUAAGAGCAAGCCGAAGAUUCCGGGUUCGAGUCCCGGGCGCGGUG